GUAUCUGAAAACUGAAGAGUGGAGAAUAUGUUCAGCAGGGAACAAGAGGAUUCUUUUAGAAAUAAGAGGUAGAAGGUCACCUCAAAUACCACAAAAUGAAUGGGAAGAUGAACACUAUGCAAGUACUCAUUAAAAACAUCCCAAAAUGCUGGAGGAAAUGCCGUGGAAUUAAGGAAUGACUCUUUUGUGGUAGAAAAUUUUUAUUUCAGAGUAUAGACACUGCUUGUGCUGGGUCUCUUAAUUUUACUGGAUAUUAUAAUUUUCUUGGACUGUUAGAUUUUCUCAGUGCAACAUUUCUGAGAGCAAAUAUGUUCUGCUCAAUUAAAUACUUUCUAAAGCUAGAUAAAUGCCUUCCAGUAAGCACAUUAACAUUCAAUAUGUUAUAUUUUACCAGAGGUAAAACAUUUAUAUUCUAAAACAUUAUAUUCUAAAUUUUUUUACCCCAGGGAAAAUAAAAUGCCAAAAAUCUCAACUACCACACAUAGCUUUGUAAUAAGAUCAAUGGGCAAAUGGAAUCAGCUUCAGUUUGCACUAAUCCUACAUAUAUGUAUUAAGGAUAUGUGUAAUGAACUUUGGCCAUAAUAAAUUAUAACUAAUUUAUUUCAUCAGUUCACUACUAUAUUUCUUUCUUGUUUGCUUCUCCUCUUGUCGUCUCUUCAUAUUUGGUAGAAUAUAUUUUAUUGAAUAUCUAG
rnacentral:lncRNA from 1 species